AUACUUACCUGGCACGGGCGACAUCAUGAUCAAGAAGGUGGUUCACCCAGGGCGAGGCUUGACCACUGCACUCCGAUUUUGCUGACCCCUGCAAAUUCCCCAAAUGUGGAAUCUCGAUUGCAUUAUUUCUGUUAGAGGGGGACUGCGUUCGUGCUCUCCCCUG